rnacentral:rRNA from 1 species
GACGAACGCUGGCGGCGUGCUUAACACAUGCAAGUCGAACGGAAAGGCCCUGCUUUUGUGGUGUGCUCGAGUGGCGAACGGGUGAGUAACACGUGAGUAACCUGCCCUUGACUUUGGGAUAACUUCAGGAAACUGUGGCUAAUACCGGAUAGGAGCUCCUGCUGCAUGGUGUGGGUUGGAAAGUUUCGGCGGUUGGGGAUGGACUCGCGGCUUAUCAGCUUGUUGGUGGGGUAGUGGCUUACCAAGGCUUUGACGGGUAGCCGGCCUGAGAGGGUGACCGGCCACAUUGGGACUGAGAUACGGCCCAGACUCCUACGGGAGGAAGAAGUGGGGAAUAUUGCAAAAUGGGCGGAAGCCUGAGGCAGCAACGCCGCGUGCGGGAUGACGGCCUUCGGGUUGUAAACCGCUUUCGCCUGUGACGAAGCGUGAGUGACGGUAAUGGGUAAAGAAGCACCGGCUAACUACGUG